rnacentral:snRNA from 1 species
AGCUUUGUGCAGUGGCCUGUAUUGUACCAAUGAGGUUUAUCUAGGGUGUGAUUAUUGCUAAUUAAAAAGUU